UGAUGGGAUAAAACCGUGUAAUUCUAUGGCUAAUACAUGCGCACAUGCCUCUUCCCUCGUGGAAGGGUAGUGUUUAUUAGAUACAGAACCAACCCACCUUCGGGUGGUCCUCAGGUGAUUCAUAGUAACCGAACGGAUCGCAUUAUGGCCUUUUGGUCGGCGAUGGAUCAUUCAAGUUUCUGACCUAUCAGCUUUCGACGGUACUGUAUUGGACUACCGUGGCAGUGACGGGUAACGGGGAAUUAGGGUUCGAUUCCGGAGAGGGAGCCUGAGAAACGGCUACCACAUCUAAGGAAGGCAGCAGGCGCGCAAAUUACCCAAUCCUGACUCAGGGAGGUAGUGACAAGAAAUAACAACACUGGAAAUUAUAUUUCUAGUGAUUGGAAUGAUGGGAAUCCAAACCCCUUUCAGAGUAACAAUUGGAGGGCAAGUCUGGUGCCAGCAGCCGCGGUAAUUCCAGCUCCAAUAGCGUAUAUUAAAGUUGUUGCAGUUAAAAAGCUCGUAGUUGGAUAUCUGCUGGAAGCAGCCAGUCCGCCCUUUGUGGGUGUGCACUUGGUGAAUUCUGGCAUCCUCCUGAUUGGUGUUAUCAUCACUUCAUUGUGUUGAUGGCAGCUGUCAGGACCGUUACUUUGAGAAAAUUAGAGUGUUUCAAGCAGGCUUGUUGCCUUGAAUACUGCAGCAUGGAAUAACAAGAUAGGAUUUCGGUUCUAUUUUGUUGGUUUCUAGGGAAGUAAUGUUAAUAGGGACAGUUGGGGGCAUUCGUAUUUAACUGUCAGAGGUGAAAUUCUUAGAUUUGUUAAAGACGAACUACUGCGAACAUUUUGCCC
rnacentral:rRNA from 1 species